rnacentral:miRNA from 1 species
UUGGAAUGCCAGAUAAACAAAAAACAACUUCUUAGUGUAAAUAUGUCCCAUGCAAUAUUUGGGACAUACUUAUACUAAAAAAAAUUCAUUAUUUGUCCAACAUUCAAAUUUCACU